AUUUUCAAUAAUGGAGUUUUCUGUUCAGGAUUAUAAUUAACGUUAUUUUGCGAUAUAAAAUUAUACUAAUAUACAGUAUUUUUUAUUAAUUAUGUAUAAGGAAUAUAUGAAUAUCAUAACUAUAAGAUUUCAAGAAAAUAGAGGUGUGAAACAAGUUAAAACCAUCUUUGAACCAAACUGAAGGAUUUAAAAAUUGAUAAAGAAGUGAUGUCUGUACGUGUUUCCAACUGACUAUUAUUUACAGUUUUCACAUAAUCGUUUAAUAAAAUAUUUGAAAAAAUUGAUAAUAAUUUAAACGAAAUACUUUGAUUGCAAAAAUUGAGAUUCUAAAUUGCCAUAAUUUAUUAUGGCUUCCAUUAUUGCAUACAUAUGAAUAAAUGAGGCUAUCGCUUCUUCAGUGGGGACAGAAAGGCCCCCUCUUUCAACAGAAUGGGACCCAUAACCAGAAAUAUAAAUUUUAAUGGAAUCAUCUACAACACAAUCGGACAAGUAUUCGGUAUCGAAGAUUCCUGUGAAACAAGUCGCAUCAGUGGGAAGAUCAUGAAGAUCGUUAUUAUUGUCAUCAGAAAUUCGAAAUUUAUUUUUGAUUUCAGUAAGAGAAAACGAAUUUGCCGAUUUUGUAAAUAUAUGUUUUGAUCUAAUUUUUUUUUCUGCAUGAAUUAUUUCGUUAUAUGACACAUGAUAAUUACAACCAGAUAAAAGUCUAUAAUUUCCAAAUUGUUUUUCUAAUUUUUCGGUUGUAAAAUGGAGGGUACUACAUUCCUUAUAAGCCUCGGACAUCUCAAGAAAACAUUCUCCAGUACACCAUUGGGCGAUAGAAUACCGUGGUACCUUUCAAUAUCAGUUUCUGCAAAAUGCAAACUACAGACGGCAGAAUAUUUUGAUGGUGUCCAAUUCUUACGAGGAAUAGCAACCCUCCAUUUCUCCCGCAAUUCCUCAUCUUUGGGGAAUAAAAAUGUAGAAUUGUAAUUAUUAUCUUUUAAGGUACUAUCAUAAUUUCCCUUGCAAUUGGGAACACAGCAAC